AUUGAACGCUGGCGGCAGGCCUAACACAUGCAAGUCGAGCGAGCGGCGGACGGGUGAGUAAUGUAUGGGGACUGCCCGAUAGAGGGGGAUAACUACUGGAAACGGUGGCUAAUACCGCAUACUAUCGGAUAACCCAUCUGGGAUUAGCUAGUAGGUGGGGUAAAGGCUCACCUAGGCGACGAUCUCUAGCUGGUCUGAGAGGAUGAUCAGCCAGACUGGGACUGAGACACGGCCCAGACUCCUACGGAGGCAGCAGUAGGGAAUGUGCGGCAAUGGGCGAAAGUCGGACCAAGCAACGCCGCGUGAGUGAAGAAGGUUUUCGGAUCGUAAAACUCGUUUAGUAGAGAAGCGGUAUCUAACCAGGAAGCCACGGCUAACUACGUGCCAGCAGCCGCGGUAAUAC
rnacentral:rRNA from 1 species